rnacentral:rRNA from 1 species
GCAAGUCGAACGAGAGCGACCGGUGCUUGCACUGGUCAAUCUAGUGGCGAACGGGUGAGUAACACGUGGGUAACCUGCCCAUCAGAGGGGGAUAACAUUCGGAAACGGAUGCUAAAACCGCAUAGGUCUUCGAACCGCAUGGUUUGAAGAGGAAAAGAGGCGCAAGCUUCUGCUGAUGGAUGGACCCGCGGUGCAUUAGCUAGUUGGUGAGGUAACGGCUCACCAAGGCCGUGAUGCAUAGCCGACCUGAGAGGGUGAUCGGCCACAUUGGGACUGAGACACGGCCCAAACUCCUACGGGAGGCAGCAGUAGGGAAUCUUCCGCAAUGGACGCAAGUCUGACGGAGCAACGCCGCGUGAGUGAAGAAGGUUUUCGGAUCGUAAAACUCUGUUGUUAGAGAAGAACAAGUGCUAGAGUAACUGUUAGCGCCUUGACGGUAUCUAACCAGAAAGCCACGGCUAACUACGUGCCAGCAGCCGCGGUAAUACGUAGGUGGCAAGCGUUGUCCGGAUCUAUUGGGCGUAAAGCGAGCGCAGGCGGUUCCUUAAGUCUGAUGUGAAAGCCCCCGGCUCAACCGGGGAGGGUCAUUGGAAACUGGGGGACUUGAGUGCAGAAGAGGAGAGUGGAAUUCCAUGUGUAGCGGUGAAAUGCGUAGAUAUAUGGAGGAACACCAGUGGCGAA